AGAGUUUGAUCCUGGCUCAGGAGAACGCUGGCGGCGNUAACACAUGCAAGUCGAGCGGAAAGGCCCUUUCGGGGGUACUCGAGCGGCGAACGGGUGAGUAACACGUGAGCAACCUGCCCUGGACUUUGGGAUAACCCUCGGAAACGGGGGCUAAUACCGAAUACGACACGCCUUCGCAUGGGGUGCGUGUGGAAAGUUUUUCGGUCUGGGAUGGGCUCGCGGCCUAUCAGCUUGUUGGUGGGGUGAUGGCCUACCAAGGCGACGACGGGUAGCCGGCCUGAGAGGGCGACCGGCCACACUGGGACUGAGACACGGCCCAGACUCCUACGGGAGGCAGCAGUGGGGAAUAUUGCACAAUGGGCGGAAGCCUGAUGCAGCGACGCCGCGUGAGGGAUGACGGCCUUCGGGUUGUAAACCUCUUUCAGCAGGGACGAAGCGCAAGUGACGGUACCUGCAGAAGAAGCGCCGGCCAACUACGUGCCAGCAGCCGCGGUAAGACGUAGGGCGCGAGCGUUGUCCGGAUUUAUUGGGCGUAAAGAGCUCGUAGGCGGCUUGUCGCGUCGACUGUGAAAACCCGCGGCUCAACCGCGGGCCUGCAGCCGAUACGGGCAGGCUAGAGUUCGGUAGGGGAGACUGGAAUUCCUGGUGUAGCGGUGAAAUGCGCAGAUAUCAGGAGGAACACCGGUGGCGAAGGCGGGUCUCUGGGCCGAUACUGACGCUGAGGAGCGAGAGCGUGGGGAGCGAACAGGAUUAGAUACCCUAGUAGUCC
rnacentral:rRNA from 1 species